GAAGAAGGGAGUAAACUGCUUCCUUUGAGAACUGGGGAAUUUGGUGUCUGAAAUUGCAGAAUCACAGAACGUGCUGAGUUGGAAGGGACCCACAGGGAUCGCAGAGUCCAACUCCUGGCCCUGCACAGGAGCAUCAGCAACAGAGCAUCAUCGUAUCUGUGCCCAGGAGUGAUGAGCACCUUGUGGCCUUUGGGUGCUUUAACUCCUCUGGAGACAGCCACAUGAAGAAGUCAGGAAAGAAGAAAAAAAGAUGACCUUCCAGUAGUUUAUUACUGUUUAUGCCAAUGUCUGGACUCCAAACCACCCUGGAGCAAAAAGCUCUGUGCCACACACUGGCUUUUGGAAGCUUUGGCUCUCAAAUCCAACAGUUUGACCCAUUCCAUACUGACCUGCUGGAAUCCAAGGGGAAGGAGUGAGGCUGACAACAUGCUCUGCUACACUCUAAAUUAUCACUCAGGAAGGAGCUCUUGGAGCCAUUUGGGGAGAGUUCUGGGACUGUUCAGGAGCUGUCAAAAAGGCAAGAAGAACCCUGAGAAUGAAGAGGAGGCAAAAAAGAAAGUAUUUGUGGUAAAACAUGAAGAGGUGGCCAAAGGUGUCCAUAAACAAAAAGUUGGUUAAGAAGGUUGGACUACAGCUGCCCUGAAAGCUCUUCCAUUAAAAGCAAAUCCAUCUCAUUGCCCAUAUGAGGCAGAAGAUCACGAAGAAGUAGCUGGAUCCUUACAUGACACCCCAGUGAGCCUUGGGAGAUGGAGGGGGCAGUUGGCAUUGAGUUGAUUCCGGAGUUAUUUCCUGAUUAUGGAUUAAUUCUUGCCUUACUAAGAUCAGUAUUGAAACACCAAGC